CGGCGGACGGGUUAGUAACGCGUGGGAACGUGCCCUUCACUGCGGAAUAGCAUUGGGAAACCGGUGGUAAUACCGCAUACGCCCUUAGGGGGAAAGAUUCAUCGGUGAGGGAUCGGCCCGCGUCUGAUUAGGUAGUUGGUGGGGUAAUGGCCUACCAAGCCUACGAUCGGUAGCUGGUUUGAGAGGAUGAUCAGCAACACUGGGACUGAGACACGGCCCAGACUCCUACAGGAGGCAGCAGUGGGGAAUCUUAGACAAUGGGCGCAAGCCUGAUCUAGCCAUGCCGCGUGGGUGAUGAAGGCCUUAGGGUCGUAAAGCCCUUUCGCCGGGGAAGAUAAUGACUGUACCCGGUAAAGAAACCCCGGCUAACUCCGUGCCAGCAGCCGCGGUAAUACGGAGGGGGUUAGCGUUGUUCGGAAUGACUGGGCGUAAAGCGCGCGUAGGCGGAUCGGAAAGUCGGGGGUGAAAUCCCGGGGCUCAACCCCGGAAUGGCCUCCGAAAC
rnacentral:rRNA from 1 species